rnacentral:rRNA from 1 species
CUUGGUCAUUUAGAGGAAGUAAAAGUCGUAACAAGGUUUCCCUCCGCAGCUGAGCCUCGGAGACCUUGCACCCCUCUGGGGGGGCAGCGCGACUAUAAAUAAGGCUGGCCACUUGCAAGUUGACCGUGAGGUCAGCGACAUAAUCGAAUUGACGGGGACUUCCUAAAGCCUGCAGCACCACCUAGACGGGGAAACCCGUUUAGUACGGUAAGAGCCUGUAGGAUACACAAUGGAUAAUCCGCAGCCGAGCCCCUACUGCGAAAGCCACGGGGAAGGUUCACAGACUAGGUGAUUAUGGGUCCAGCCGCUUGUUGGAUCUAAGAUAUAGUCGGUCUCUGGGGGAAAUCCCAGGGGUUUCAGCGUCCGUAGGUGAACCUGCGGAAGGAUCAUUAAUGUAACCGGACCGGUCCUUUGCCGUAAAACGCACCGGAUUGGAAAGGGAGAUACCAUACACCCUGUGUUUAUUUACCUUUGUUGCUUUGGCGGGCCGUCCUUUUAGGCGUCGGCCCCGGCUGAUCGCGCCCGCCAGAGGACCUAAACUCUUUUAUCAGUGAUGUCUGAGUACUAUAUAAUAGUUAAAACUUUCAACAACGGAUCUCUUGGUUCUGGCAUCGAUGAAGAACGCAGCGAAAUGCGAUAAGUAAUGUGAAUUGCAGAAUUCAGUGAAUCAUCGAAUCUUUGAACGCACAUUGCGCCCGCUGGUAUUCCGGCGGGCAUGCCUGUUCGAGCGUCAUUAUAACCAAUCAAGCUCUGCUUGGCCUUGGGGCCCGCUGUACCGGCGGCUCUCAAAACCAGUGGCGGUGCCGUCUGGCUCUAAGCGUAGUAAUUUAUCUCGCUAUUGGGUCCGGUAGUUGCUUGCCAAUAACCCCCAACUUUUAAGGUUGACCUCGGAUCAGGUAGGGAUACCCGCUGAACUUAAGCAUAUCAAUAAGCGGAGGA